rnacentral:misc_RNA from 1 species
UCUCCGUUGGUGAACCAGCGGAGGGAUCAUUACCGAGUUCACAACUCCCAAACCCCUGUGAACAUACCAUUUGUUGCCUCGGCGGUGCCUGCUUCGGCAGCCCGCCAGAGGACCCAAACCCUUGAUUUUAUACAGUAUCUUCUGAGUAAAUGAUUAAAUAAAUCAAAACUUUCAGCAACGGAUCUCUUGGUUCUG